ACUGCAGGCCGCGCCAUCGAUCCCAGCUUUUGGUUGGGGUAGGAAAGUCCGGACAGCACAGGGCAGCGCAUCCCGCUAACGGCGGGACAUUCCGCCUCGCCACAAGCGAGAGCCGGGAUCGAGCCAGUGCCACAGAAAAUAGGAGCCUUCGUUCGGGCGGCAACGCCUGAAUUCGUCACAGCCCGCCUGCGCUUCAACGCCAGGGGGGAAGUGAGGGUGAUCGUGAAAACGUGGGGUAAGAGCCCACGGCGCCGCAUCGGAAGGUGCGACGCGGGUAAACCUUGCGCGCUGAAAUGCCAUGUAUAGGAAUCGUUAGUGGCUGCUCGUCACUGUUCGCCACAUCCGCCUUCGGGCACACGCGGCGGGCCGGUUCCAGGGUAGGCAGCUCGAGGCGACCAGCAAUGGGCGUCCCAGAUAAAUGAUGGCGGUCUCGUCUCAGGCGAGAUACAGAAUCCGGCUUACAGGCCUGCAGUAUUU
rnacentral:RNase_P_RNA from 1 species